GCUCUUUCCCUAAGCUGAUUAAACAAUAUUGAUUAUGUGCAAUAUCACUUCCCACCAGAGAGGUCCCAUCGUAGGAACACGGCAAGCUGCCUUAACCUGAGCUACAGCCUAUCCUAGGGCAGUAGAGAAAACCAGCAGCAACCUUCACCAUUCUUUCUUGUCUUAAAUGGGAAUGUACCUUAUAGUAAGGGACACAGAGGCUCAGUGUUCCCUACACUGACUGGCAGCAGCUCUCUAGGGUUUUAGGCAGGGGUUGCCGCCAGCCCCACCAGGACAGGCUGGGGAUUGAACCUGGGACCUUCUGCACUCAAGGCAGCUGCUCUGCCACUGAGCUACAAGCCUUCCCCAUAUAACUUUCUCCUUUCCUUACCGAUUUGCAGAAGUUCCCUAUGCCUCGUAUCUUAAAGGAGCAAGUGGGUUGGGUAUUUUCGAGCUUCAGGUAGACCUUGGUACCAGCCAAUUUGGAGAGGUGGAGGCUGACCCGCAGCGGAGUGACCACAUGGAAGGGCUUGGAGGAGGCCAUUGUGGAAAUCUGAGGGAUGAAUGGGGAUUAGGUACAGAAUUAGCACAGUGGAAGAAUAAGGGGGAAAAGACUGUUUUGCUUCCUCAAAACUUUGUUUUGACUCUUUUUUCAUGGCUAUGUAGUUGAAGUCCAUUGAUACAGUCACAAACAGCCAAGGCUGUGAGUGCUGAGAUCUUAGAAUCUCAAGUCUCAUUCUAUUUAAAUCAAUCAGGUUUCUAGUCCUCAUGCUACAUAUACAUUCUCAAAAGUGCAGGCAGUCAUGGUUGCUGAUGCAGUAAGCUGUCCUGCGACUGCAAUAAGGCUUCACUGCUUAAUUCCUUGUCCCUCUUUGUAAUUGGCUGCUAGUGUGUAAAUUUAGAAACUGAAGUUUCAUUAUUAUUUUUUAAAAAGAAAACAAGCAGGUUCCUGGGCCUCAUGGCUAAAAACAUAUGUUUGAAAAUGUGAGUACAGUAAUCCUUUAUUAACGUUAAUAAAGUUUCUUUAUUUUAUUGCAUUAAAAACCAGACUCUCCCUGCAAGCAAAUUUUCUGUCUUUACCUGAACCUCAAUUAUCCAACUCUCCUAGGGAUCCAAAUUUGCAGUGCAAGCGGCCUAUACCUUGCUUAUCUGACGGCGAAAGGUGUGCAUUACAUCAUGAUGCACACUGUCUAGCAGACCUCCAGCCAGACGAUGAGAUGCACUUACUUGUGGAGGGUCUUAGAAGAGGCUUUGGAGCUUGGCUUGCAAAGCGGUUGGACGGCAGAGCUGGGUGCUUGCGGUGGUGUUUUGGAGGAAGCCGCUGGUGGACUCAGAGGGGGGCUCUCCUCCUUCUCCUGGGGGUGGGCUGCCUGGGUGCUGUGCUUAUCUUCACGACUCUGGUCUCAUUGGGGGAACGUUGGUUUCUCUUGGCCCCACUUUAUAAGCCGGUGGUCUUGGCUUGGUGCUGGCCACUUAUGGGAGGCGUGGUGCACUCCCCAUAACCACUGCCCUCGCCUCUGAGGUCAUCUCCCUUCCUCUCCUCCAACCAGAGAUCCGACCUAAGGGAAAGGAGCAGAAUCAAUGCUUAAAAGGAUGUCAGCCAGAGGGGAAACGGGGAAGGGGUGUGUGUGAUUCGUUGCAAAAGGGGGAAAGCCUAUUUCAGUCACUCCAAUACCAAAAGAAGAGGAGCAAAUGAGAGACAGACAAGGCUAGCUGGUGGAGGAAGGAGGGGCUGGGGGGACAGUCUGGGGUGGCUGCUUCAGACAAAGGGCCCCUUCACUCAAAUGGUCCAAAGCAGGCUCAAACCAGGUUGGCGAGCUGGGCCUGGAAUGAUGAUGAGGCAGCGUUAGGAGUGAGCCGUGCCGGAUUUACGUAUAAGCUAAACAAGCUAUAGCUUAGGGCACCACUCUGUUGGGGGCCCCAAAACAAUUUAAAGGAAAAAAAACCUGGAUGUACAUUUACAAAAUAUAAGCUAAAAAGCAAAUAAAAUAAAACCUACAUACAGCAACCGUGUUUUGUGUUGUGUAGGCUCCUAUGAUGUAAGUAAUGGGCCCCGUCCGCUAGCCUGCUCCCUAAAAUAUCACUGGUUUGUUCAUUUCUAUAUAUAGGGUGCCUACAUUCUGCAUGGACUGGUUGCAUGGCAACAUGUGCAGAUGGCUUUAGAUACCUAUUAGGUCCAUAAAUUACCAUACAGCA